GACGAACGCUGGCGGCGUGCUUAACACAUGCAAGUCGAGCGAUGAAGUUCCUUCGGGAAUGGAUUAGCGGCGGACGGGUGAGUAACACGUGGGUAACCUGCCUCGUAGAGGGGAAUAGCCUUCCGAAAGGAAGAUUAAUACCGCAUAAGAUUGUAGUACCGCAUGGUAUAGCAAUUAAAGGAGUAAUCCGCUAUGAGAUGGACCCGCGUCGCAUUAGCUAGUUGGUGAGGUAACGGCUCACCAAGGCGACGAUGCGUAGCCGACCUGAGGGGGUGAUCGGCCACAUUGGGACUGAGACACGGCCCAGACUCCUACGGGAGGCAGCAGUGGGGAAUAUUGCACAAUGGGGGAAACCCUGAUGCAGCAACGCCGCGUGAGUGAUGACGGUCUUCGGAUUGUAAAGCUCUGUCUUCAGGGACGAUAAUGACGGUACCUGAGGAGGAAGCCACGGCUAACUACGUGCCAGCCGCCGCAGUAA
rnacentral:rRNA from 1 species